UACAGAGGUGGCAAGCGUUGUUCGGAAUUACUGGGCGUAAAGGGCGCGUAGGCGGUUCGUUAAGUCCUGUGUGAAAUCCCCCGGCUCAACUGGGGAACUGCACAGGAAACUAGCGGGCUUGAGUUCGGGAGAGGGAAGCGGAAUUCCGGGUGUAGCGGUGAAAUGCGCAGAGUAUCAGGAGGAACACCAGUGGCGAAAGGCG
rnacentral:rRNA from 1 species